rnacentral:piRNA from 1 species
UGCCAUAGUCCUUGAUCCACACACCCAGA